GCAUAUCAAUAAGUGGAGGAAAAGAAACCAACAGGGAUUGCCUCAGUAACGGCGAGUGAAGCGGCAAAAGCUCAAAUUUGAAAUCUGGUCCUAGACCCGAGUUGUAAUUUGUAGAGGAAUGUUCGGCGACGCCUAGGUCUGAGUCUUCUGGAAGGAAGCGCCUUUGAGGGUGAGAGCCCCGUAGGACUGAUGGCUGAACCAUGUGUACAUCCUUCGACGAGUCGAGUUGUUUGGGAAUGCAGCUCAAAACGGGUGGUAAAUUCCAUCUAAAGCUAAAUAUUGGCCAGAGACCGAUAGCGCACAAGUAGAGUGAUCGAAAGAUGAAAAGCACUUUGGAAAGAGAGUGAAACAGUACGUGAAAUUGUUGAAAGGGAAGCGCUAGCGACCAGAUUUGGAAAUGACGUUCAGCGGUUCGCGUGGACCGUGUACUUCGUCUUUUACUUGCCAGCAUCAGUUUUCGGGGUUGGAUAAAAGCUUUGGGAACGUAGCUCUGCUUCGGUCGAGUGUUAUAGCCCUUUGCACAAUACAGCCACUGAAGACUGAGGAACGCCUUUUUGUAGGAUGCUGGCGUAAUGGUUGCUAGCGGCCCGUCUUGAAACACGGACCAAGGAGUCUAACAUCCGUGCGAGUGUUUGGGUGUCAAACCCGCUCGCGAAAUGAAAGUGAACGUUGGUGAGAGUCUGUAAAAAGAUGCAUCAUCGACCGAUCCUGAUGUCCUCGGAAGGAUUUGAGUAAGAGCACGGCUGUUGGGACCCGAAAGAUGGUGAACUAUGCGUGAAUAGGGCGAAGCCAGAGGAAACUCUGGUGGAGGCUCGCAGCGGUUCUGACGUGCAAAUCGAUCGUCGAAUUUGCGUAUAGGGGCGAAAGACUUAUCGAACCAUCUAGUAGCUGGUCCUGCG
rnacentral:rRNA from 1 species